UGAUGAUGAUGAUGAUGAUGACGACGAUGAUGAUGAGGUUAAUGUUAUUCUGAUGUUGAUAAUAAUCGUAUCGCCAUUCUCAUCAUUAACUUUAUCG
rnacentral:pre_miRNA from 1 species